CGCGGUGGGCUCCCUGUUUUGUGCAGUCGACCACCGACGUUGCAAGUCUCUUCAGACUGUGAAACUGCGAAUGGCUCAUUAAAUCAGUUAUAGUUUGUUUGAUGGUACGUGCUACUCGGAUAACCGUAGUAAUUCUAGAGCUAAUACGUGCAACAAACCCCGACUUCCAGAAGGGAUGCAUUUAUUAGAUAAAAGGCUGAUGUGGGCUUUGCCCGUUGCUCCGAUGAUUCAUGAUAACUGACGGAUCGCACGGCCCUCGUGCGGGCGACGCAUCAUUCAAAUUUCUGCCCUAUCAACUUUCGAUGGUAGGAUAGGGGCCUACCAUGGUGGUGGCGGGACGGAGAAUUAGGGUUUGAUUCGAGAGGGAGCACGAGAAACAGCUACCACAUCCAAGGAAGGCAAAGAAAGCGCAAAUUACCCAAUCGACACGGGAGGUAGUGACAAUAAAUAACAAUACCGGGCUCUUCGAAGUCCGGUAAUUGGAAUGAGUACAAUCUAAAUCCCUUUAACGAGGAUCCAUUGCAGGGCAAGUCCGGUGCCGCGAAAGCCGCCAGUAAUUCCAGCUCAAUAGCGUAUAUUUAAGUUGUUGCGUUAAAAGCUUCGUAGUUGGACUUUGGGGCCGGUCGGUCGGUCCGCCUUCAUGGUGUGCACGGUCGUCCCAUCCCUUCUGUCGGCGAUCGUGCUUGGCCUUAACUGGCGGGUGCGUGCCCGCCACCGUUAUUUUGAAGAAAUUAGAGUGUUUCAAAGCAAGCCCACGCCUCUGGAUACAUUAGCAUGGGAUAACAUCACAGGAUUUCGGUCCUAUUGUGUUGGCCGGGAUCGGAGUAAUGAUUAUGAGGGACAGUCGGGGCAUUCAGAUUUCAUAGUCGAGGUGAAAUUCUUGGAUUUAUGAAAGACGAACCACCGCGAAAAGCAUUUGCCAAGGAUGUUUUCAUUAAUCAAGAACGAAAGUUGGGGCUCAAGUCGAUCGAGAUACCGUCCUAGUCUCAACCAUAAACGAUGCCGACCAGGGAUCGGCGGAUGUUGCUCUUAGGACUCGCCGGCACCUUAUGAGAAAUCAAAGUCUUUGGGUUCCGGGGAGUAUGGUCGCAAGGUCAAAACUUAAAGGAAUUGAUGGAAGGGCACCACCGGGGAGUGGAGCCGCGGCUUAAUUUGACUCAACACGGGAAACUUACCGGUCCGACAUAGCAAGGAUUGACGGACCGAGAGCUCUUUCUUGAUUCUAUGGGUGGUGGUGCAUGACCGUUCUUAGUUGGUGGAGCGAUUUGUCCGGUUAAUUCCGAUAACUUAAACGAGACCUCACCGCUAACUAGCUACGCGGAGGCAUCCCUCGGCGGCCAGCUUCUUAGAGGGACUAUGGGCGUUUAGGCCACGGAAGUUUGAGGCAAUAACAGGUCUGUGAUGCCCUUAGAUGUUACGGGCGCGACGCGCUACAUCGAUGUAUUCAACGAAGUCUAUAGCCUUGGCCGGCGGGCCGGGUAAUCUUUGAAAAUUUCAUCGUGAUGGGGAUAGAUCAUUGCAAUUGUUGGUCUUCAACGAGGAAUUCCUAGUAAGCGCUUGAGUCAUCAGCUGGCGUUGACUCAAAUCCCCCCCCCUUUGUACACCGCCCGCCGCUCCCUACCGAUUGAAUGGUCCGGUGAAGUGUUCGGAUCGAGGCGACGGGUGGUUCGCCGCCCGCCCGACGUCGCGAGAAGUCCACUGAACCUUAUCAUUUAGAGGAAGGAGAAGUCGUAACAAGGUUUCCGUGAGGUGAACCUACUGAAG
rnacentral:rRNA from 1 species